rnacentral:rRNA from 1 species
GUGCCAGCCGCCGCGGUAAUACGGAGGGUGCAAGCGUUAUCCGGAAUCAUUGGGUUUAAAGGGUCCGUAGGCGGGCUAAUAAGUCAGAGGUGAAAUCCAGCAGCUUAACUGUUGAACUGCCUUUGAUACUGUUAGUCUUGAGUUAUAUGGAAGUAGAUAGAAUGUGUAGUGUAGCGGUGAAAUGCAUAGAUAUUACACAGAAUACCGAUUGCGAAGGCAGUCUACUACGUAUAUACUGACGCUAAUGGACGAAAGCGUGGGGAGCGAACAGGAUUAGAUACCCUGGUAGUCCACGCCGUAAACGAUGGACACUAGUUGUUGGAUUAUUUCAGUGACUAAGCGAAAGUGAUAAGUGUCCCACCUGGGGAGUACGAUCGCAAGAUUGAAACUUAAAGGAAUUGACGGGG